rnacentral:tRNA from 1 species
AGCACCAGUUGUCUAGUGGUAGAAUAGUACCCUGCCACGGUACAGACCCGGGUUCGAUUCCCGGCUGGUGCACCUAGGAGCUGGGACG